AUUGAACGCUGGCGGCAUGCCUUACACAUGCAAGUCGAACGGUAACAGGUCUUUCGGGAUGUUGACGAGUGGCGAACGGGUGAGUAAUACAUCGGAACGUGCCUAGUAGUGGGGGAUAACUACUCGAAAGAGUGGCUAAUACCGCAUGAGAUCUAUGGAUGAAAGCAGGGGACCUUCGGGCCUUGUGCUACUAGAGCGGCCGAUGGCAGAUUAGGUAGUUGGUGGGAUAAAAGCUUACCAAGCCUACGAUCUGUAGCUGGUCUGAGAGGACGAUCAGCCACACGGGGACGGAGACACGGCCCAGACUCCUACGGGAGGCAGCAGUGGGGAAUUUUGGACAAUGGGCGCAAGCCUGAUCCAGCAAUGCCGCGUGCAGGAUGAAGGCCUUCGGGUUGUAAACUGCUUUUGUACGGAACGAAAAGUCUUGGGUUAAUACCCUGGGAUCAUGACGGUACCGUAAGAAUAAGCACCGGCUAACUACGUGCCAGCCGCCGCGGUAA
rnacentral:rRNA from 1 species